UAUAUUAAUCAUUCUAAUAUAUUUUCCAACUUUGAUUUUUAUUUGCAUUUAUUGGUCCAAACUCCAAAAAAAGAACAUUUUUUGUUACAUUGAAUUAUUUGAAGAACUCUCGUUCUUAAACAAUGAAGAUUUAUAAAUAGAAAUGUAAAUACAUAUUGUUUUUAUAUCCUAAAUUAUUUUACUCAAUAGCAAUAUUAUCUUAAAAUUGUAUAAAACGAUCAAAUUUUAUCUUAAAUCACCUUUAUUUUAUGUAAGAUAUGUAAUUUAUUUUGCUUUUGUCUAGAUAAUUUUAAAUUAUCUAAACAUACCACACUGCCCGUGCAUAAGAUGGAAGCGAAUCAAGGGCUCAAAUGUUGCAUUGCGCGUCGUUAGUUUUCGACGCACGGCGGAUCGCUCGUUCGUAAAUGGCACAAAACUCGUCCCCGGGCUUCCCCUUCCUCUCUCGCGACUUCUGUUUUUAAUUUAUUUAUUCUUCGCUCGCUCUAUAUCAUCGCGCGUCGUACCGUAACUCAUAUAUAGAAAUAUCACACGCGUUCGUUAAAUGUAGAUUUUCUUGUACAUUUUCUAUAUAAAUUAUUAAGAUCCUUUUCUAGCUGGUAUAUUAUUAUAUUACGUAGUAGUGAAGAAAAAGAGGAGAGAAACACAGUAGAGGCUAAGCACACCGACACGUGUCGCGACGCGAGUCGCGGGUUUAUCGAUCAAUGCUGACACUCUCGAAUCGCUUGCGUCACGGAUUCCAGGCGGCGACGGCGAUCGCGAAAAAUCACUGAUCUUUACAGCAUAAAGUAUAUACAUAUAUAUAUAUAUAUAUAUAUAUAUAUGUAUACUUACUCGAUGUAAGUACGGUUUAAGGCAGCACGACAUGAAAUCUCGAUAAAGGCCAUUAGCGUACAAUAAAGAUCAGUGAGGAUUGUUUGAGAAUUAUCAUGCGUGUUACUCGACCCAAAUCUCGACGGCUCAGCUGCGAUUAAGGAGCCCACCUGUUACGUCCCACCUGAUCCUUUCCGAACUCCUGACUAUCAACAUUAGAGAGCGCGCAAGAAGACUAUUCUUUUAAGUCUCUCUCGCGACAUACUGUACGAUAAGAGGAUUCGUGAAGAUCAAACGCGGCACAAGCGCAUUAUUUAGAGAGGCUGACUUGAUCCUCCGAAGGGAAUGCGGGCGUAACUUACGUUACUCAAUUUUAUGAUGAUGUUACGAUAAAAUCGUUCGAUCGACGAACACUACGAAGUGUAUUGAAUUAUGCUAACCGAAAUGCGAAAACUAUUAUACAAUAUAUGAUUGUUGCGCCAUAAUGUCGUACUUAUAAUAGCGCUGCGAUAUCGUGAAAAUAUGAUGCGACACGAUGGAGAAAUUGCAUAUGGAUAUCACUACAAAAUCGCACAGUGCGAACAGUGUUAUUACACGCGAUUGCGAUUAUAUUCAAGCAGGCCAUCCUUAAAUCCGCAUCGCGUUUCGAGUCAAGUUCCUAAAUUGCCGAAUGCGUUCUUCGUUUUUCGUUAAUUACGAUCGAUGUAAACCUUCUUCCUUUCAUUAUAGCAAAUAAAGGACAAUUUCACACGGAAAUCAGAGCGAAGGGGAAAAAUGUAAAGCGCAUGUAUAUCGUUUUUGUAAGGAAGAACCAAUUGUCGACGCUCGUAUUGGAUUAGCACGACGAUAGCAUAGCAUUCGACGUUCAUUCGAUUACACGCUAAUUGCGAUGUGCGUAUUAUCAACGAAUCUCUGUGUGCAAUUAACAAUAACACCCUAAUUUCUUAUAUUAUAUUGAUAUCACGAUAAAUCUCCAAUUAUUUGUACAUUUGUGUAUAUUUAAAAAAAAACGUUUUAAGCGAUGCACAAUAAAUUAAAGAAAUUUAUAAUUACGAGGAGAAAUGGGUGAAAUAUCCUACAUAUUUUAUAGAACUAUUUUAUUUUAUUUUAUUUGUUGCAAUUUGCAUUUAAGUGAAAAUGCAAAAUUAUAAGCAAAGAGAAAAUGUUUCGUCACAUAAAAAAAAUAAAAGAUUAUUUGGACGUUUUUCUUAAUGACAAAUCUAAGUGCAUCAUGAAUAUUAAGUCGUGUUUAAACUAACUGUAGUCGCGCUAAUCACAUGCGAGCAUUUCCUUUCCGGAAGAGAGACAAAUCAGAUGCGAUCGCCCUUGUUCUUGAACGAGGAGAAAACAAUUGUACGCUCUUUCAUGUGUGCCGUAGUUGACAAUGUAUGUAUGUACUUACGAUUUUAACGAUGGUUGAACGUGAUGUCGGUGGAAACGAUUCUGACGGGCGAUCGAUAACAUCACACGACGGACGUUCACGUUGUUGCGACCGCGAGCCAAUAAUACCACGUACUACGGAGACGAUUGAUCUCAAGCCUCGAUCGAUCUUUACAUUACAAAACGAUGCAUCCUGAAAUCACAGAUUGCGACGAUUAAACUUUCGUAUUCCGAGUUUUACAUCGAGAUCCUUAUAAUCCAGAAUUGCAAUUAUUGUUCCAAGUUGAAUUGAGUUAUGGUAAAGCUGCUUUCAAUUUUAAGACGAUUACAUAAUUUUUAUAAAAACUCGAAAAUAUUACGUUAACUGUUUUAUUGAAAUAUACGUCUACUGUUUUACUGAAAUAAUAAAAAUAAUAAAAAUC
rnacentral:lncRNA from 1 species